GAUGAAGAACGUAGCGAAAUGCGAUAAGUAAUGUGAAUUGCAGAAUUCAGUGAAUCAUCGAAUCUUUGAACGCACAUUGCGCCCCCUGGUAUUCCGGGGGCAUGCCUGUCCGAGCGUCAUUGCUGCCCUCAAGCACGGCUUGUGUGUUGGGCCCCGCCCCCCGGCUCCCGGGGGGCGGGCCCGAAAGGCAGCGGCGGCACCGCGUCCGGUCCUCGAGCGUAUGGGGCUUCGUCACCCGCUCCGUAGGCCCGGCCGGCGCCCGCCGGCGACCCCCCUCAAUCUUUUCAGGUUGACCUCGGAUCAGGUAGGGAUACCCGCUGAACUUAAGCAUAUCAAUAAGCGGAGGA
rnacentral:misc_RNA from 1 species